GCCUUCGUGGUGUAAUGGUAGCACACUCGGCGCAUAUUCGAGAGGUCCAAGGUUCGAGUCCCGGCGAGGGCA
rnacentral:tRNA from 1 species